rnacentral:tRNA from 1 species
UCCCUGAUGGUCCAAUGGUUAAGACUCUGCGCUUCCAAUGCAGAGGGCACGGGUUCAAUCCCUGGUCCAGGAA